rnacentral:lncRNA from 1 species
UCAUCAUUGUGUUGGAAGGUACCCUAAGACACAAAUAAGCGCACAAAAACAACUCUUUUUUGGAUUUUCAAAACAAUUUUUCAAAUUUUUAUGAAUUUUCGGAUUUUUUAUGUCAAAACACACUGAAACACUCCAAAACAGCUUAAAAAUACUUAAAACAGCAAGGAACAACACUAGAAGUAAUGGGUGAUAAAUUUCUACGAAUUUCAUGCAAAACAAUGGUUACCCCCCACACUUAAAUCAAACAUUGUGUCCUCAAUGUUUCAAGCAUAUACUCACACCAAAAACAAGCAAAUAACAAAUGACAAAUAAACAUGACAAAUAUGGCAAAGUAAAAACCAGACAGAGUAGAGUUUAAGAACGCAAAUCUGGUUU